rnacentral:rRNA from 1 species
AAACUGCCCGUGAUAAGCGGGAGGAAGGUGUGGAUGACGUCAAGUCCUCAUGGCCCUUACGGGUUGGGCUACACACGUGCUACAAUGGCAGUGACAAUGGGUUAAUCCCAAAAAACUGUCUCAGUUCGGAUUGGGGUCUGCAACUCGACCCCAUGAAGUCGGAAUCGCUAGUAAUCGCGUAACAGCAUGACGCGGUGAAUACGUUCCCGGGCCUUGUACACACCGCCCGUCACACCAUGGGAGUUGGGCCUACCCGACGGCCGUGCGCUAACCUUUCGAGGAGGCAGCGGACCACGGUAAGCUCAGCGACUGGGA